rnacentral:rRNA from 1 species
GAUGAACGCUGACAGAAUGCUUAACACAUGCAAGUCUUUGGCGAAGCUGUGCUUGCACAGCCUAGCCAAGGCGGACGGGUGAGUAACGCGUAAGGAACUUGCCCUGCAGUCAGGGAUAACAGACGGAAACGACUGAUAAGACCUGGUAAAGUCAGGCGGACUCAUGUCCAGCCUGAUGAAAAGAGAUGCUGCAGGGGAGCCUUGCGUCCUAUUAGCUUGUUGGUGGGGUAACGGCCAACCAAGGCGAUGAUAGGUAGCCGGCCUGAGAGGGGGGAGGGCAAAAGGGGACGGGAGUUCGGACCCUAAUCCCAACGGAAGCAGGCGUGGGGAAUAAUGGGCAAAGGGGGCAACCCUGAUCCAGCAAUUCUGUGGGCACGAUAAAGGUUUUCGGAUUGUAAAGUGCUUUCAGCAGGGAAGAAAAAAUGACGGUACCUGCAGAAGAAGCGACGGCUAAAUACGUG